CUCAGAGAGUACCUUAAUUAAAUGGAAUGUAAAACACAUAGCACAUGCCUGUCACAGUUGUGGCACAGGAUAGACCACAUAGAUGCAUCCACAGUCAACUGGUUUCCUGAUGGACAUGUGCAGAAGGAGAAGUUAGACUGCUGUCCUGAAGAAGAUGGCAGAUGGAGACACUUGAAUCCCAGUGAGAGACUCAACCUUCAUCAGGCUCAAGGAAGAAUCCUGAUGAAAGCCGGGACAUGAUGGAAGAAUCCUAAGUUCAGUUCCCCAGGGACUCUUCUUCAUAGGCUGACCUACAUGCCUACUACAGUCUAGAAGGCGAAUCUGCU
rnacentral:lncRNA from 1 species